UUCAAGUGAUAAGCGAUGAUAUUAGACAGUAGAAGUUCCUAUAACAUUUCUCGACUCUUUCUUUUUGAAAUUUGAACCGCAAUACCUCAAAGUCAUUCCGAUACUGCCGUUCACGCCUCCAAGUGCCUUUUUUAAACUAGUGCUUUUAAAUCGGUUCCUACUACGAUUACGACGUAUACUACGUAAGCAAUUUUUUUUUGUAGUUUUAGGUUUAAAAAUCACAUUCCGAGAACCUAACGUUUACAUAAUUUUCGGUCCAUAUCAUUCGUGAUUAAGUUUAGAGAUAUUAUAUAUUUCGGUUGGGGUGUAAAAUAAACAAAUGUUAAAUCGUGGACGAAUUUUUCUUGCGCCGACCUUUGCGUAUUUCGUUGUUGCAUUUUACUGCUAACCGAUGAUGUUUUAGUUCUGGAAACCGGGAAGAAAGGCCAACGAAAACCAAAACGGGCACUCGAUCGCGUAUUCCGCUGCGACCGGUGCGGCAAGUGCUUCGCCCUGAACCACUCGCUGAAACGACACCGCCUCAUGGAGUGCGGAAAAGAAAAAUCGUUCUUCUGCCGCCUUUGCGACUAUUCCACAUUUCACCGUUUUUCGUUAAAGCGACAUUCGGCAGUGCGGCAUAACACCAACAUCGACUAGCCCCUAAAAUAUAUCGAUUUUCAUCUCCGCCACGCUUUUCAUUUCUUUGCCACGAUUUAGUUGCUUGGUCGGUAACGGGUGAAUGUUUUCAGGACGGCCACGUUCAAAUUGGUGCGAGAAAUGCGGGAAGACCUACACGCACAAUCGCAAUUUGCAACGCCACCAGAAGAUCGAGUGCCAGAAAUCCAAGUCGUUCGUAUGUCCGCUCUGUCCGUAUGCUAGUUACUACAGGUACCACCUGAAAACGCACAUGUACGGGCAGCACGGCAUAUUAUGAUCCAUAUUGAAGAUAUUCCCGCUUCCUUUAUAACCUCAUUUUUUUGUUUUGACCAUUCGGACUGUCUACGCGAAAUAAAAUGUCGUUUAGUUGAAGAGAGAUAAGUUAGAUACUGUCAACUGUUACCAUCCAGUCCUGUUCAUAAUUGUUAUUGUUUUAAAUAAACCAACUUUCAUUUAAGAAUUGCGCUACCGAACUCUAAUUUUACCCCUACGCGGUGAUUCAGGAUUUUCCCGAAGCUGAACAUUCUCGACAAUACAAAUUUUUCCGCAAGGGGCUCAGAAUCGACAUGGCUAUACUACUUUUGCACGUUAAUUCGAUCAUUUCAAGGUGUCAAUAUCGUUCGUAUUUUUUCUGGUGGCUAUCCUCAGAACGAUAAAAGUUAUCUCCGACUAAUAAAAUAAUUCGUCUAUUAAUUGAUUGUGUUACUUUUUCGAUUCCGCUGAAUGCCAGUCGCGGGAUAUCCUGAGAUAUCAAAAUUACAUAUUUCCAACUAAAUCAACGUCUAAGUUUUGGCGCUCAUCGACAGAUGGCAGCACAGGUUGUAACAAAAAAUCACGCGGAGCUUUACGGUAAUGUAUGCUUAGUUUAUUAACGUCUAAUUUAAAAAUCAGCAUGCAGGGCCGAGCGCUGUUGAAAAAGUAAAAGUAAACUGCAAGGAAUAAAAUGAUUUCACUAUAAUUCGGUUGCUUUAUUUUUUCGAUCUCGUGAAUACCGGUAGUAUUAAUACCUAACUUGGCCGUCCACCAUUCCCCUACCAUGAGAUAUUAAAAUCGGAGAUCCACUAAGCAAAUACUUUCUAUUUCAGUAUGCAGGAUCUAUCAACGUUAAAACAAUAAAAGUAAAUUAAGGCGAAUAAGGUACCAUUUACCAACCAGCUGGAUUCCUUCUGCUCGAUUGUUGAUGAAUUGACUGCUGACUUUUCAUUCGUUAAGUUAAGCUCCGAAGAAACCAACAGGCUGAUUGGCGAAACACCAUCAACAACCGAUGCAGGAGGAAUCCAUCAGAUUUGUAAAUAGUAUUCAUCCAGUAGUGUGUUGAAGUUUAUUUGGAAAACGAAUAAAAUAAUUUUUCGAUAAUUUCAGUGUUUUAUUUCCUCGAUAUCAUCAAAUACCGAACGUCGCUGGGAAUUUUACGUCACUCUACGUUUGAGUUUAUGGACCUCCUUAGACUGGCUUUCGAUUUUAGCGAAACACGCUUGCAAGAACUGUGGCAAACGGUAUUCGAACCGGGUCUCAUACACGAGUCACGUGAACUACGAAUGCAGCUCGUUUCGAUUUUUUUGUAUGGUCGACGAGUGCGGAUGGUCCUCCAAUCGGAAACACGAUGUGAAAAAGCACAUACUCAGAAGCCACGCGGGCGUGAAGAUUGUCAAAGACGACAUGAUAAAGAGGUGUAAAGUAAGCUAAGUAGUUCGGCGUUUACGUUUAGCUGUUCUGGAUCAGGUAUGGGUCCUUCGUCACAGUCGCGUUUUUUUUUUUAGUUUUCCAAUGGUAUCUGACCGAAGACGGACGGUACGGUUGCCCCCAAUGCGGAAAAUCAUACAAGCAGAAAGCUCACGCGUCCCGCCACUACAGGCUCGAGUGCAACAAGGAGAGGCAAUUUGAGUGCGGUUUCUGCGGCAAAAAAUUCGUACAGAAGCACCACCUUCGCAUGCACUCCGUCAGCAAAAACUGUCAGCCGGAUAUUAUUGAAUAUUAGCUUCCAAUAAAUCUCUUUAAUAACGCGCGCCUAUUAUUUCAACCGACCUUGUUAUUGCUGGGGCUGCCGCUGAUGUCGGAUUUCUUUCAGAUGCGUACUGGUAUCGGUUGACGGAGAACGGUCGUUAUGGCUGCAGGAAAUGUAUAUCGUCGUACAAGAAUCUGAACAACCUGCGGCGACAUCUGCGUUUCGAGUGCAACAAAGAGCCCGCGUUCGCUUGCAACAUCUGCUUCAAACGGUUUACUUACAAGUACAUCUUGUCCAGACACAUGGCCAUUCACGGAAUAAUUGUUGAAUAACUCUUAGCUUAUGUAUAAAUGUGAAGCUUCUAGGUAAUAAAAGUAUGCUUUGUCUUUCAGGGCUUAUUUGCUUCAACUGCUACAAGUUGUACCGGUCUAAGGUAGCGUUCAAUCGGCACAAGAAAAACGAUUGCGGCAAGAUGAAGCAGUUCGCUUGCCACGUGCGCCGUUGCAAGUUCAAGUCGUACCAAAAAAGUCAACUCAAAUCCCACCUAUCCAUCAAGCACAAUAUGAAAUCCUAGUUGUGUCUAACUUUUGGUGCCUUUUAGGUGCGUGCAGGUACAAGUGUUCGACCUGCGACCGAUCGUACAAGCGGGUUACGGAUCUGAGGAGACACCUUAGGCAGGAGUGCAACGUACCACCCCAGUUUCAGUGCGAGGUUUGCUCGAAAAAGUUCCGGUACAAGCACGUCUUAAAGGGCCACAUGAGAAGACACGCCAAACCAGAUUUCAUUUAAUAUCGACGAUUACGCCAAGGAUUGUAAAUAUGGAAAGGGGGAAAACAAAUUCGCUUAUUACUCGUGUAAGUCCUGCGGCAAGUGAUACAAGUACAACAGAUCGCUGUGGGCGCAUAGGAAAAUGGAGUGCGGUCAAAAUCCGAAAUGCCUCUGCCACGCGUGCAACUACAAAACGUACAAAUCUCAAAAUAUGAGGCGCCAUCUCGCGAUGAAGCAUGGCUUGUUUUAGAAUUCGGUACCGUGUAUGAUUCCACUAAUAAAUUGUAAUCGUCGAAGAUGAUUUUGCUUUGCCAUGUUUGGCUUUGGUUGGUACCAUUGCUACCUUUUCUCAACCAUGGCGACGCACUUAAAUGUAAGAGUGUCGGAAUGAGUUGAAAAAGAGAACCCGGCAUCGACGUUGCUUUAACGUUGAAUUUCGUUGCAGACGAUUACAAAUUCGUGUGCAACUGCGGUAAGGUCUAUCGACGUCGAAAUUCCCUGUUUGUUCACAAGCGAAACUACUGCGGCAAAGAACCGUCCCAUAUUUGUAACAUGCCUAAUUGUACCUACAAGACCCAUCUAAAGUCCAACCUCAAAAAGCACGUGUUUCUGAUGCACAAACGGGUAUGACUAAAUAGUUCCUACCUUUACCGUUGCUCCACGUGUAGCAAAGGUUAUAAUAGCAGAAAUUCUCUAUUCGCUCAUAAGAAGGUGUACUGUGGCAAGCAACCGUCCCACUUGUGUUCAAUGUGCACUUACAAAAGUCAUCUUAAAUCCAACCUCAAGCGUCACCUAUAUUUAGUACACAAACUCUGUUAAAUGUCCGCAAAUAAAAUCGUUCAAACAGAGUUUUCAUGUUUAAUGGUUCACAACCCUAUCACGGGUUUGUUUUGCGCAUGCUCGCUUCUGCGCUUGAAAAAUGUAUAUUUUUUGUAGAACCUUUCGUGUGCGUGAUGUGCAAUAAGACUUACAAGAACCUCAACACGUUGAAAGCGCACCAGUUCUUCGACUGCGGCAAGUGCAAGUCGCACAAUUGUCCGAUCUGCAGUUUCACUUGCAAACGGAAGUAUAACCUAAAA